GAUGAACGCUGACAGAAUGCUUAACACAUGCAAGUCUAUGAGAAGAUCUACUUCGGUAGAAGGUAUCAUGGCGGACGGGUGAGUAACGCGUAAAGAACUUGCCUCUUAGACUGGGAUAACAGAUGGAAACGUCUGAUAAGACUAGAUAUAAUAGCGACAUGGCAUCAUGUUGUUAUGAAAGGUAACACUAAGAGAGAGCUUUGCGUCCUAUUAGUUAGUUGGUGAGGUAAUGGCUCACCAAGACGAUGAUAGGUAGCCGGCCUGAGAGGGUGAACGGCCACAAGGGGACUGAGAUACGGCCCUUACUCUUACGGGAGGCAGCAGUGGGGAAUAUUGGACAAUGGAGGAAACUCUGAUCCAGCAAUUCUGUGUGCACGAUGAAGGUUUUCGGAUCGUAAAGUGCUUUCAGUAGGGAAGAAGAAAGUGACGGUACCUACAGAAGAAGCGACGGCUAAAUACGUGCCAGCAGCCGCGGUAAUCUCGU
rnacentral:rRNA from 1 species